UACGAAGGGGGCUAGCGUUGCUCGGAAUUACUGGGCGUAAAGCGCACGUAGGCGGAUCGUUAAGUCGGGGGUGAAAUCCUGGAGCUCAACUCCAGAACUGCCUUCGAUACUGGCGAUCUCGAGUUCGGGAGAGGUGAGUGGAACUGCGAGUGUAGAGGUGAAAUUCGUAGAUAUUCGCAAGAACACCAGUGGCGAAGGCGAACUCACUGGCCCGAUACUGACGCUGAGUGCGAAAGCGUGGGAGCAACAGGG
rnacentral:rRNA from 1 species